CCUACGGGCGGCAGCAGUAGGGAAUCUUCCGCAAUGGACGAAAGUCUGACGGAGCAACGCCGCGUGAACGAAGAAGGCCUUCGGGUCGUAAAGUUCUGUUGUUAGGGAAGAACAAGUACCAGAGUAACUGCUGGUACCUUGACGGUACCUAACCAGAAAGCCACGGCUAACUACGUGCCAGCAGCCGCGGUAAUACGUAGGUGGCAAGCGUUGUCCGGAAUUAUUGGGCGUAAAGCGCGCGCAGGUGGUUCCUUAAGUCUGAUGUGAAAGCCCACGGCUCAACCGUGGAGGGUCAUUGGAAACUGGGGAACUUGAGUGCAGAAGAGGAAAGUGGAAUUCCAAGUGUAGCGGUGAAAUGCGUAGAGAUUUGGAGGAACACCAGUGGCGAAGGCGACUUUCUGGUCUGUAACUGACACUGAGGCGCGAAAGCGUGGGGAGCAAACAGGAUUAGAUACCCCGGUAGUC
rnacentral:rRNA from 1 species